GGGGUUGUGGCUCAGUGGUAGAGCACUUGCCUAAUAUGCAUGAGGCCCUGGGUUCGAUCCUCAGCACCA
rfam:Ictidomys tridecemlineatus contig053064, whole genome shotgun sequence.